AACGUCAAAUCAUCAUGCCCCUUAUGACCUGGGCUACACACGUGCUACAAUGGGCGGUACAAAGGGUCGCGAACCCGCGAGGGGGAGCCAAUCCCAAAAAGCCGCUCUCAGUUCGGAUUGCAGGCUGCAACUCGCCUGCAUGAAGCCGGAAUCGCUAGUAAUCGCGGAUCAGCAUGCCGCGGUGAAUACGUUCCCGGGCCUU
rnacentral:rRNA from 1 species